CAUGCAGUCGAACGGAAAGGCCCAGCUUGCUGGGUACUCGAGUGGCGAACGGGUGAGUAACACGUGGGUGAUCUGCCCCUGACUUUGGGAUAAGCCUGGGAAACUGGGUCUAAUACCGGAUAUGACUCGAGGUUGCAUGGCUUCGGGUGGAAAGCUUUUGCGGUUGGGGAUGGGCCCGCGGCCUAUCAGCUUGUUGGUGGGGUAAUGGCCUACCAAGGCGACGACGGGUAGCCGACCUGAGAGGGUGAUCGGCCACACUGGGACUGAGACACGGCCCAGACUCCUACGGGAGGCAGCAGUGGGGAAUAUUGCACAAUGGGCGCAAGCCUGAUGCAGCGACGCCGCGUGAGGGAUGACGGCCUUCGGGUUGUAAACCUCUUUCACCAGGGACGAAGCGCAAGUGACGGUACCUGGAGAAGAAGCACCGGCCAACUACGUGCCAGCAGCCGCGGUAAUACGUAGGGUGCGAGCGUUGUCCGGAAUUACUGGGCGUAAAGAGCUCGUAGGCGGUUUGUCGCGUCGUCUGUGAAAUUCUGCAGCUUAACUGUAGGCGUGCAGGCGAUACGGGCAGACUUGAGUACUACAGGGGAGACUGGAAUUCCUGGUGUAGCGGUGAAAUGCGCAGAUAUCAGGAGGAACACCGGUGGCGAAGGCGGGUCUCUGGGUAGUAACUGACGCUGAGGAGCGAAAGCGUGGGUAGCGAACAGGAUUAGAUACCCUGGUAGUCCACGCCGUAAACGGUGGGUACUAGGUGUGGGUUCCAUUUCACGGGAUCCGUGCCGUAGCUAACGCAUUAAGUACCCCGCCUGGGGAGUACGGCCGCAAGGCU
rnacentral:rRNA from 1 species